AGUGAACGCUGGCGGCGUGCCUAAUACAUGCAAGUCGAACGGAGAUUAAGUAGCUUGCUAUUUAAUCUUAGUGGCGCACGGGUGAGUAAUAUAUAGCUAACUUGCCCAUUACUGAGGGACAACAGUUGGAAACGACUGCUAAUACCUUAUACUCCGUAUCUAUAUAAGUAGAUACGGGAAAGUUUUUCGGUAAUGGAUAGGUCUAUAUCGUAUCAGCUAGUUGGUAAGGUAAUGGCUUACCAAGGCUAUGGCGCGUAACUGGUCUGAGAGGAUGAUCAGUCACACUGGAACUGAGACACGGUCCAGACUCCUACGGGAGGCAGCAGUAGGGAAUAUUGCUCAAUGGGGGAAACCCUGAAGCAGCAACGCCGCGUGGAGGAUGACACUUUUCGGAGCGUAAACUCCUUUUCUUGGGAAAGAAUUAUGACGGUACCCAAGGAAUAAGCACCGGCUAACUCCGUG
rnacentral:rRNA from 1 species